GAAGUCUUGCUGCAAGUGCUUACAUCUCUUCAUGGUCUACACAAGGACCACAAAGCCCUAAGAAAAUGAGUCGGCUGGGAUGAAUCCAGGAUUUGGAGACAGUUAAGAGGAACUUGUGCGGCAAGCUAGAAGGAAUCAAGCUGGGUGAUCCUUCUGGAAGGACAUUUUUCCAAUGAGAAGUUAUCAGUCUGAAACAGGCCUCGAGGAACAGCAACACUUAUUUAUUCUUCCAACCCGUAUGCUGGCAGCACGAUGACUAAAGUGCGGCUUCGACUAAACAAAAUCAGGAUUUCCUUGAUAACUGGAAAUAUUUGGGGCUCAAAGAACCUAACCAGCAUGUGUAGGCAAAGUCAGGAAGAAAGAACCAGGACUUUUUCUUCAUUUUGUUCCUUGUACAGACUUGGGAACUCUUCCAUCGAGGAAAAGAGAAGUGCAUCCCCAUACUUGUGAAAAGAUCUGGAUGAUGGCCCUAUCUGACCUUCUAGCAGCAGAACCAUGGCUCUGGUACGCCUCUUCAAUCAAGCCAGAAGUCUUCCCCAGACUCCCACCACAGCUCUGCUUACAUGAGACACAGAAACUAUAACAGCCUCUAUUUUUUAAUAUGUUCUUUUUCCAUGGUCACAUUAGCAAUUUUUUUUUUUACUCAAAUAUUACUGUAAUAUUAAGAUUAAACAGAAUCAUUUCUGAAGAAAAUAAACAUUUAUUUUUGAUCACAAGCUUCGCUGUUCUGGACUCUACCCAUGUAAAAUCUUUGCAUAAAUGGAAAAAUUGUGACUGUUUGCUUGUGGAUGUUGGACAUUUAAUGGUGGUGAGACUAUUUUUAAACAAGAUCCUCUAUCUUAAUCUUUUUAUCUGUUAGCCAUAUUUAAUCCUUUCUUACAACUGGUUACAACUGACGAUAAACUGAGCAGUUUGUAAUUUCCUGCUAUGCAUCCCUAGGAUACUUAAUAAAUUGCUUGCGCUGAAGUUCUUCCAAUGUUCAGAAAUCACUUUCUCCAAAACCCACAUUCUAGAUGUCUUUAAAAUAUUCAUUUAACUUUUCACUUGGUUUGCACUUUUCCAGAACUAUACCUACUGUUCCUUCUCAAAAACGAGAUGAAGCAUAACCUAUAUGCUAUAGAAAGUCUUGUAAUUUUUGCAAGGAUACAAAGAAUUCUUAGGAAUAAGGUUAAAUCUGAACUAUCCAAGAAACUUCUGCAUUACAAUAACUAAAUAACCUA